UACAGAGGUCCCAAGCGUUGUUCGGAUUCACUGGGCGUAAAGGGCGCGUAGGCGGUCGGGUAAGUCUGAUGUGAAAUCUCACAGCUUAACUGUGAAACUGCAUUGGAUACUAUCCGGCUAGAGGAAUGGAGGGGAGACUGGAAUACUUGGUGUAGCAGUGAAAUGCGUAGAUAUCAAGUGGAACACCAGUGGCGAAGGCGAGUCUCUGGACAUUUCCUGACGCUGAGGCACGAAAGCCAGGGGAGCAAACGGG
rnacentral:rRNA from 1 species